CGGCAACAGCUCAAAUUUGAAAUCUGGCCCCCCCGCGGGGCCCGAGUUGUAAUUUGCAGAGGAUGCUUUUGGCGCGGCGCCUUCCGAGUUCCCUGGAACGGGACGCCAUAGAGGGUGAGAGCCCCGUCUGGUCGGACGCCCAGCCUCUAUAAAGCUCCUUCGAC
rnacentral:rRNA from 1 species